rnacentral:tRNA from 1 species
AGUGCUUUUGGUGAGCAGAUUUGAAAUCUACGGACUUUUAAUCCGUUGGUCGCGUGUUCGAGUCACGCACGGCCUACCA